rnacentral:rRNA from 1 species
AACGAACGCUGGCGGCAUGCCUAACACAUGCAAGUCGAACGAGACCUUCGGGUCUAGUGGCGCACGGGUGCGUAACGCGUGGGAACCUGCCCUUAGGUUCGGAAUAAAUCCCCGAAAGGGGUGCUAAUACCGGCUAAUGUCUUCGGACCAAAGAUUUAUCGCCUUUGGAUGGGCCCGCGUUGGAUUAGCUAGUUGGUAGGGUAAAAGCCUACCAAGGCGACGAUCCAUAGCUGGUCUGAGAGGAUGAUCAGCCACACUGGGACUGAGACACGGCCCAGACUCCUACGGGAGGCAGCAGUGGGGAAUAUUGGACAAUGGGCGAAAGCCUGAUCCAGCAAUGCCGCGUGAGUGAUGAAGGCCUUAGGGUUGUAAAGCUCUUUUACCCGGGAUGAUAAUGACAGUACCGGGAGAAUAAGCUCCGGCUAACUCCGUG